rnacentral:lncRNA from 1 species
AAGGCCUGUGAAAGUAAAGACAUUUUCAGACCCUUAAUUAGGAUAUUGAGGGUAUUUUAUUUAGAGGGUUUGUUUAAUGCUUAGGAAGAAAAAUACAGCAUUGGAAGCAUAAAGGUUCUUCAAACGCAAGUGGAGACUUUUUGGGGCAUUCCAGUUUUGCUUCCCUCUCCUGCUGGGCAGGAGCAGCGUGUGCCUUGCUGAGUGCGGAUGACAAACCCCUCAGCACAACCCUGCCUUAGCUGGCACUCCCCUUCCCUAGCUAAGGGAGGUUAAACUGCUGCAGCUGGCUGGGUUGCUUUCAUUGGCUUGAGAACUGGUCGAUUGUUUUUAUUAGGCCCCGAUAAUUUCUGUAAAAGCAGCUUAAUGUGGUUAGUGCUUGUUUUGCUAAUAGAUCAGCUGAAAGGCUUGUUGUGUUCUCAUUGAUUGCUAGCGUUUUUAAUUUGUUCAGAGGCUUAAUUUGUAACCUCUUGGUUAUGUUAAUCUGUGCUUAUAUUACAGCCCGAACACUGCCAACCAAUUUCUGCUGAAGCCUCGUUACUACCCGGGGAUGUGUUUGUUCUCACUGCUUUACAUCCAGAUACCCUGGGCUGAGCUCUGCGCUGCAUCUGGAGAGGAGUCUUUGUGAGUCACCUCCUGCUUCACAACCUGGAGGAUGUUCUCAGCUGCCUGCAGCUCAUCAGGCGGGUAAGUGCUCUGCCAGCAGCUCCCCUCUGCCCACCUGCCUUUCAUUCUCCUGCUGAUGUACAUGAAAGUGUGGUGCUGUCACAGGGUGUUGUUGUGUUUUCUCUAUCUUUUUCUGCUCCCAUCUCGUGUGUGUUGCUGUCGAAUUGCUGCAGGGAAGCAGUAGCAGCACCUGCAGUGAGACUCAGGACCUCAGCAGGCUUUUCUUGCAAUUGGUUUUCCGUCUCCAUGCCAUCACCAAGGCUAAUGAGCAAACAAAGGCUUCAUUUAAGAUUAUACUCACAUGACCAUAAGACAUUCAAAAGAGACAAUGUUUAAAAAAAAGAAAAUGCUUGAAGUUUUCUCACUUGGUAAUUCUGGUUUCCCUUACAUUCCCUAGAGUAGCUGAGGUGUGCUGGCCAAGAGAUUAGGAGUUCCCUCUUUUCUAAUAG